AGAAUGAACGCUGGCGGCGUGCUUUACACAUGCAAGUUGAGCGAGGCCGGUAGCAAUACCGAGUCGAGCGGCGAACGGGUGAGUAACGCGUGGAUAACCUGCCCUUUAGUGGGGAAUAACCCGGGGGAAACUCGGGCUAAUACCGCAUAUGACCGUGAGGUCAAAGGGGGCUCGCAAGGGCUCUCGCCAUAGGAGGAGUCCGCGUCCGAUUAGCUAGUUGGUAGGGUAAUGGCCUACCAAGGCGACGAUCGGUAGCCGGCCUGAGAGGGUGAUCGGCCACACUGGAACUGAGACACGGUCCAGACUCCUACGGGAGGCAGCAGUGGGAAUUUGCGCAAUGGGCUAACGCCUGACGCAGCAACGCCGCGUGGAGGAUGAAGGUCUUUGGAUUGUAAACUCCUGUCAGCAGGAAAAAGCGAAGCCGGACCUAAGUACGCCGGUACGAGUUGAUUGUACCUGCAGAGGAGCCCCGGACUAACUCUGCGCCAGUAGCCGC
rnacentral:rRNA from 1 species